UUUUUAUGUGAACGUUGGAUUUAAUUCGACUAUAGUUCGUUAAAAAUUUUAUCGCAUGGUUUGUUCAUCCAAUUGUUGCUUUGCUUUUGUUAAAUUUUUAUAUUGGGCUUUGUUGUUAUAUGGCAACGCUGCAAGUGCAAGUUCGUUUUUUGGGAAUAGUGUACGUUUCAGUGGCAGCACAAUGUGAUUGUUUGAAAUUAUUUAAUUUCCAUAUGAUUUUGGGUUGUCAAAAAGUGUCUUGGGAUAGAUUUGUCGACGAAAAAUUGAUAAUGGGUUUGGUUUUUCAGAAAUCUUUUUUUCUGUGAUUUGGCUUGGAACUUGGAAGAGAAUGAAGGCGUUUAACAGAGCAAUAGGUGGAAGAGAAGAGUUUUUUGAUUUUAUUUGAAACUUUAUGCCUUUUUAUUGGUGGGUCUGAUUUCUUUUUUUUUUUUUUUUUUGGUCCUGAAAACCGCGAGUAUGACCAAAAGAAGAUUGUUGGAGGUUUUUAAAAGUAACGAGGAUUCACCAACGGAAAUCACGAAUUUUUUCUCCCAUUUUCUUGGAGGGUUAUUUUGGGCAUUGAUGCUUCGUUUUAGGUGGGACUGUUAAACGGGUCGUGUUCCAAAGCUACUAUUUGCUGAAAGGUAUUAGCUUUCGCUUAAUUUUUCGCUUUCUUAUUAUUCAAAAUUGCUUCUUUUGCGAUAUUUUCCCUGUUUAUCUACAUUUUUUGUUCAUUUUUGGAGACUUUGAAAAUGUAUAAUCCGACUCGGAUGACCUGAGAAAUCUCACCACCAUUUAUAGUUCUUUUUCAAAUUUUUGUUUUCGUACGAGAAAGGCCAAAAGGGUCUACAAGCUCGAAAAUAAUCCCUCUCUGUAAUUAAAAAAGCAUGAGCUUGCCAGUCCUAGUUUAUCCAAUUUGGCAACACCGUCCAGUUUCCCACCACAUAUAGCAGCCCUUGACUGAGUUUGGAACAGUGUCCAGUGAGUCCGAUCAUAGGCAGAGUGUUAUGUGGGAAUAUAUUUAUUUGGGUAAAGCUUUGAGAAAGAUAAUUCGAAAUGGGAUGGAUUUUCAAGCCUAGAUCUGAAGGGGAGAAGGUAGAAGCUUUCAAGGAUUGAUAAAUACCUUGAUGGGUGUGUUAUGGUAGAUUUGGCUCUGUCAGUGAAAAAUGUUUGGCUGCCAUGAAUAUUUUAAAAGAACCAGAUGAGAAAGCAGAAAAUCUGUGGACGCUGGAAGGUCAACGAUAAGAAAAUAUUGCUAAAGAAAGCUGGUUUUUCUUUUCUCUUUUUUUUUUUUUUUUUUUUAAUAUAAA